rnacentral:rRNA from 1 species
AAUAUUGCACAAUGGGGGAAACCCUGAUGCAGCGACGCCGCGUGAGUGAAGAAGUAUUUCGGUAUGUAAAGCUCUUUUAGCAGGGAAGAAAAUGAAGGUACUUGACUAAGAAGCCCCUGCUUAUUACGUGCCAGUAGGCGCGGAAAUACGUAGGGGGCAAGCGUUAUCCGGAUUUACUGGGUGUAACGGGAGCGUAGGUGGUUCGGCAAGUCAGAUGUGAAAGCCCGGGGCUCAACCCCGGGACUGCAUUUGAAACUGUCGUACUAGAGUGCAGGAGAGGUAAGUGGAAUUCCUAGUGUAGCGGUGAAAUGCGUAGAUAUUAGGAGGAACACCAGUGGCGAAGGCGGCUUACUGGACUGUAACUGACGCUGAGGCUCGAAAGCGUGGGGAGCAAACAGG